ensembl:lncRNA
GUUGGAUUCAUCUUUGCUGAGUCGACAACUGAGGAGAACGAAACUCCAGAGAGAAAGAGGAAAAAGAGCUGGGCAUGUGGCCGGGAGUGGUGGCUCACACCUGUAAUCUCAGCACUUUGGGAGGCCGAGGCAGGCGGAUCAUGAGGUCAAGAGAUUGAGACCAUCCUGGCCAACAUGGUGAAAACAAAAUACAAAAAUUAGCCUGGCAUGGUGGCGUACACCCGUAGUCCCAGCUACUCGGGAAACUGAGGCAGGAGAAUUGCUUGAACCCAGGAGGCAGAGGUUGCAGUGAGCCGAGAUUGUGCCACUGCACUCCAGCCUCGGUGAUAGAGUGAGACUCUAAAAAAAAAAAAAAAAAAAAGAAAAAGAAAAACAGAGCUAGGAGUGCAUUGCCCUGGUGCCUCCAGGCUGUAAUUAGGACGCCUGGCAGGGGUAAAUGUCAGUCUCCAAAGCUCCAGCCAAUGUAUCUGUAAGGAGCCAGGGUCCCAGAGCCACAGUGACCAUCUGAGGUGGUGACAGUGGCCGGGCUGGGGCCAACAGGGCUCCCCAUCCCCACCAUGAACUUUUACCUUUUCCUCCCCUUUUCAAAUAGGCCUUAGAGCACUUCUGGAGGUUAAAGGUUGAUUUAGGACAUCGACUGAGGGAAUCCCAGUGUCCUCUACCCGACUUCCACAGCUGAGCAAAGCCUUCCCCGUAGGGUGCUGUGAACUCAGGCCGUCUGAGCACCCGCAGGCCCUGGGGGUCACAUGUCAGGGGAGGAGGGAGGCCUCAGAACCCAGCGUGAAAGGCCACACCCACUCACCCUGGUCUCCAAAAUUCUUCCCUCUGUCUGUCUCCAGGGUGGAGAGGCAGCAAGUUGGGGCUAUGGUGGCAGAAGAUGGAGGCGACAGCCCUCUGGGAUUCAAAUCCAGCCCUCCCACCUGGCAGUCAUGGAGCCUCACUGAGCAGUUUAACUCCCAAGUCCCAGAUCCCAUCUGUGAAGCCAGGUGCCACAAAAUGGGGGAGCAGCAGAGAGACGACGUGGCGUGGAGGAGAGACAGACACACCUGCACACGCACGGUGGAACGGGCAACGCACCCCGGGACCCAGUGCGGAGGAGAGACACUCGCGGCAGGACAGGCAGCCACGUGUGCUCACCCCAGGACCUGGCGCGGAGGCGGGAACAGACACACCUGCACACGGCACGGCGGGACAGGCAGCCACACACUCACCCCAGGACCUGGCGCGGAGGAGAGACACCUGGCGCGCAGGCGGGAACAGACACACCUGCACACGCACGGUGGGGCGGACAGCCGCAUGCUCACCCUUGCAGCCUCAUAUUCUCUGCUGGAACACAAGGAUUUUGCAUCUGUCAUUUGACCCUGGCUCUCGGGUGGUCCUGGUACUGUGAAGUUUCUGGGCUCGGGUCCAUGGCACCUGGAAAAUGUCGCAUUUAAGUGAAAUGAUCUUCAAAGCCCAAGAGGAAAUGUUCCAGGCACCCCUCAGAGACCCUAUGAGGCAGGAAGGACAGUGGGGCUACGAGGGUCCCCAGCUUCUCCAGCUCAACUUCUGUCUGGAAAUUACUCCCUGAAAUCAUUAGCAGAGCUGGACACUGGGUCAGUUCUGUGAUCUGUGGGACUCUACCCUUAAUAGCUUCAUUUAUUUACAUGGGUGUAACCUUAUAUUUAUCUAUGUAAAGAAAUAAAUUUGUCAUUUGUUAGA